AUUCCAGCUCCAAUAGCGUAUAUUAAAGUUGUUGCGGUUAAAAAGCUCGUAGUUGGAUUUCUGUUGAGGAAGUCCGGUCCGCACUUUGUGCGUGAUCUGGUUCUGCCUCGGCAUCCUCGCGGGGAACGCGCUGCGCUUGAUUGCGUGGUGCGGUAUUCGCGACUUUUACUUUGAGGAAAUUAGAGUGUUCACGGCAGGCUAUCGCCUUGAAUACGUUAGCAUGGAAUAAUAAUAUAGGACCUUGGUUCUAUUUUGUUGGUUUCUAGAACUAAGGUAAUGAUUAAUAGGGAUAAUUGGGGGCAUUUGUAUUAACACGUCAGAGGUGAAAUUCUUGGAUUUGUAAAAGACGGACUACUGCGAAAGCAUCUGCCAUGGAUGUUUUCAUUA
rnacentral:rRNA from 1 species